AAGCUCGUAGUUGAAUUUCGGGGUUAGUAGGUUGGUCAUGCCUCUGGUAUGUACUGGUCUCACUGAUUCCUCCUUCCUUAUGAACCGUAAUGCCAUUAAUUUGGUGUUGCGGGGAAUUUGGGCUGUUACUUUGAAAAAAUUAGAGUGCUUAAAGCAAGCUAACGCUUGAAUACAUUAGCAUGGAAUAAUGAAAUAGGACGUUCGAUCUUAUUUUGUUUGGUUUCUAGGAUUGACGUAAUGAUUAAUAGGGAUAGUUGGG
rnacentral:rRNA from 1 species